rnacentral:rRNA from 1 species
AUUGAACGCUGGCGGCAUGCCUUACACAUGCAAGUCGAACGGUAACGCGGGGCAACCUGGCGACGAGUGGCGAACGGGUGAGUAAUGCAUCGGAACGUACCCAGUAGUGGGGGAUAGCCCGGCGAAAGCCGGAUUAAUACCGCAUACGACCUACGGGUGAAAGGGGGGGAGUCGCAAGACCUCUCGCUAUUGGAGCGGCCGAUGUCAGAUUAGGUAGUUGGUGGGGUAAAAGGACCUACCAAGCCUGUGAUCUGUAGCUGGUCUGAGAGGACGACCAGCCACACUGGGACUGAGACACGGCCCAGACUCCUACGGGAGGCAGCAGUGGGGAAUUUUGGACAAUGGGCGCAAGCCUGAUCCAGCAAUGCCGCGUGCGGGAAGAAGGCCUCGGUGUAACGACUUGUCAGGAGAAUACUCUGGUUAGUACUCGGGGAGUGACGGUACCUGAGAAUAAGCACCGG